AACGAACGCUGGCGGCAUGCCUAACACAUGCAAGUCGAACGAGACCUUCGGGUCUAGUGGCGCACGGGUGCGUAACGCGUGGGAAUCUGCCCUCUGGUACGGAAUAACUCAGGGAAACUUGAGCUAAUACCGUAUAAUGACUUCGGUCCAAAGAUUUAUCGCCUGAGGAUGAGCCCGCGUAGGAUUAGCUUGUUGGUGAGGUAAAAGCUCACCAAGGCGACGAUCCUUAGCUGGUCUGAGAGGAUGAUCAGCCACACUGGGACUGAGACACGGCCCAGACUCCUACGGGAGGCAGCAGUGGGGAAUAUUGGACAAUGGGCGAAAGCCUGAUCCAGCAAUGCCGCGUGAGUGAUGAAGGCCUUAGGGUUGUAAAGCUCUUUUACCCGGGAUGAUAACGACAGUACCGGGAGAAUAAGCCCCGGCUAACUCCGUGCCAGCCGCCGCCGUAAUAC
rnacentral:rRNA from 1 species